CCUACGGGCGGCAGCAGUGAGGAAUAUUGGUCAAUGGACGAGAGUCUGAACCAGCCAAGUAGCGUGAAGGAUGACUGCCCUAUGGGUUGUAAACUUCUUUUAUGAAGGAAUAAAACGAGUCACGUGUGCCUUUUUGCAUGUACUUUAUGAGUAAAGCUCGGCUACCUCCGUUCCGGCAGCCGCGGUAAUACGGAGGAUCCGAGCGUUAUCCGGAUUUGUUGGGUUUAAAGGGAGCGUAGAUGGGUUGUUAAGUCAGUUGUGAAAGUUUUCGGCUCAACCUGAAAAUUGCAAUUGAUACUGGCAGGCUUGAGUACAGUAGAGGUAGGCGGAAUUCGUGGUGGAGCGGUGAAAUGCGUAGAGAUCACGAAGAAAUCCGAUGGCGAAGGCAGCCUACUAAACGGACACUGACAUUGAGGCGCGAAAGUGUGGGGAGCAAACAGGAUUAGAUACCCUAGUAGUC
rnacentral:rRNA from 1 species